CAGGGAAUCUUCCACAAUGGACGAAAGUACUGAUGGAGCAACGCCGCGUGAGUGAAGAAGGGUUUCGGCUCGUAAAACUCUGUUGUUAAAGAAGAACAUAUCUGAGAGUAACUGUUCAGGUAUUGACGGUAUUUAACCAGAAAGCCACGGCUAACUACGUGCCAA
rnacentral:rRNA from 1 species